UGUUUUUAUGGUCUGUGAACAUGAAUAUAUAAAUAUGUCCCCCAACUUAUCGAUGCUGGCUACGCCGCUGCAACAGGGGAGCAGGAUGUUUCAGUUUGGAAUCGCAAAGUGAAAUGAUUUUUGCUUUCAUGCUUCGAAAUUGUUAGCGAUUAAGCCGUUGAAGACUUGAGAGAAUCGUAAGACUCGUUUUCUAAUUUCGCAGAUUUGAAAUAUUUAGAGCGCAUUAUUCGUUUGUAUUUUGAAGUCCAAAACAGGCAUCGAAAUGAAGCCUGCAGCUGAGAGUAGAAGGCGUAACACUAAUACAUGACAGUGCUUUGGCUUGAGGUAAAAGACGCAAUUUUUACGGCGCUUUGAUGAACAUUGGAGCCCAAAUUUGGCUCCAACUUGACCGAUGUUCCGAGCGUUGAAAAUUAAUCCUUUGCUUUGGCCCAGUAAAGCAACGUUUUUUUUUUAAUUUUAAUUUUAAUAGCAAAUUUUCCAUUUUAAAAGCUGCGCGUAUGGUGUCAAGCAAAAUUUCUGCCAAAGAAGAUCGCAUGCAGGUAUUUUUAGUUUCUUAGACAAAGAUCAGUGUUAAUCGCUCCCGAACCGUCGAUUCAUCGAAAGAGAAAGAUGCAAGUGUAUAAUUUUGUAAAACAUAAAAUGUUUGUCUUUAAUUUUGCGUCGUUUUAUAGGUAUGCAACAAGAUUAUGUCUGUAAGUUGCCUGCAUGUAGGUAUAAGCUUCUGUUGGAAGUAUACCUUUACUUUUAUAUUCAUUGCGCAUAUGACUUAUUAACUAAAUCCCCUCAAGGACACUACACUAUAGAAAGAAAAACAAGCUUAACUUAUAGGUUAGUAAAAUCUUUUUCUUGAUUUUGGUUUUAGAAAUAAGAAAUUGUAUAAGGAUCACAUGCGUGCAUGAGCUAAUUCAAAUAUUACUUUUGAGUUUUCAGCAAUGUAAAGGAGUGUCCUUGCAGGCGGUGGCCUUAUUGGAAGGCUUAUUUUUGGAGAAUAAAUAAAUGUAGAUUUGUAAAAUAUAUACGUUUUAUUAAUCAUAUUUUAUAUAUAUUCCUAAUUAUAUCAAAGAAGAUUGAACUGGAAUUUGGACAUGAUGAAGAAGGUAAUAUUUUUUAACAUUUAUACAGUGGAAAUAAACACAAUUAAACAGUUCAGGUUAUUGAAUAUGAUUCUCUUCUUUGAGUUGUCGUGGGAUUCUCUUUACAUAAUGGUUGUUAUUUCUUUAGCAUACUCAUACUAAUUGCUUCCUCCGCACUUUAGUAUUCAGAAUUGAUAGGUGUAAUGCUGCGUGCAUGGAUGUACUUAUACCGACGUAUAAGUUGAGUGAAAGUUGCGUGUAUAAAUCAGAUUCGUUUUGCCUGGAUCAACAAAUGGCACUAGUACGGAGUGAUAUAAGUAGUUAUUAUGCAUUUCUAUAAUAUAAUGUCAAUUGAUGUGACGGAUGUCAAUAAUUUGUGUGCGAAGCAGAAAGUUCAAAGUCAGUCGCUACUUUGGAGAAGACGUUUCUAAAAGAUAUACAGUUGAAAAUAUGUCAGAGUGAAAAUAUAUGAAAAUACGUAAGAGUUUGUUUUCCAUUCAAACAGUGGAAACGAAGCAAGGGAACCAUGAAAAGCGAAAUUACUCAUUUGUUUUGUUUAUCUAUCUGCGCCAUAAUCUGCCAUUGUUCAAGAAAUUUUUGAAAGCAUUUGCAAAGAUUGUAUACACGGUAUAACAAAAGAAAAAGAAUUUAACUGGAACGGGUUUGGUCAUGGGGAAAAAUUCAUUUGUUGAAUCAUAUUGUUAUUAUAUGGAACGCUAUUUUGUAUUGACCUUUGGAUUGCCAUAUGGGAAAAACAUUUAUAUGCUAUAUGUUUUUGGAUUGCUAUAUGGAUUGUUAAAAAUGAUCACUGUGUCGCGAAAUUCUGCGAAAGAAAUUCUGCGAACAUUUUUUAUGAUCUUUCGGAUUAUCUGAUUAAUGGAUGAAGAAAUAUUUCAUUAUUGAUUUUGAAUCAUCUUUGAAAGAAUGGGUCCAAAAAUAUGGGACAGAAUGUGGAAGAAAAAUGGCAUUAAAAUGUGCUACUAUUGAAAGCUGUAUUCGUAUUGCACUCCGGGAAAAUAACAGCAAUAGCAUUUCUGCGUAAUGGUAUCCAUGUUCAAGCAAAGAUUUAUGAAAGACGUUCUCUGUUAUUUGGUUUAUUACAUACGUCACUUGUAAGGGACACAAUUCACUUGUCAAUCUGUUGGAAUGGAAUGGUUUAACUCCACGUUGGCACAAAGUAUUCGUUUUGUUCAGGAUAUUCAAAUAUACCGCGAGGAUAAAAUAUUGAAAAACCAGUGGGAUUGAAAUUCUUAUGUUCCUAAUACCAUAAAAUGUUCCACUAUUGAAAACUCUAUUUGUUUUUGCGCUCCGGAAAGAUAAACAAUAGAAUUGCCAUUUUGGCUUGGUAUUUACAAACCAAGACAUAUGAAUGGUGUUCUCUGCUGCUAUAUUUAGUCUCCGUCACUUGUGAGGGACAAAAUUAUAUGUUAACACACUUUGCUUAGCUAAAAACAUUGGCGGAUAUAUUGAAAUCAUGAACAACACUCAAGCAGAACUGAACUGAUUAAUACAGAAAUCUCGAGAUAAUUUCAUGUAUCGGUCGAACGUUCCUUGUUGAUACGAAUUUAAAGUUUACUACGUGAACUGCGUAAUACAAAGUUUACUGAAACCGCUCCUUUUGUUGAAGGAGAAGAAGUGAACAUGUCUUCAUCCAAUUUUCAGUAUUUUGGAUCGGUGUGGAUCGAUAUUUUGUCUUGAUUAUGGCAAUAAUUAUGUUAUUCAUGGCCAAUAAUAGCUUGGCAUGAAAUAAUCAGGUCUGUAAAGAGACACGGCGGCACAAACCGUUCCUGAAGGUCGAUUAUUAGUUUGUUCUAACUGUUCUUUGACUGAGGAAGAAAUUGAAGCAACCAAGUGAUAUUUUGGAUAAAGCUGUGUGCCUAAAACUAAAAUUUAAAGUAACUGUGAAGUUACAUCGCAACUUUAUGGUCUUUGCAACUGCUGAGCCAAAAAGGAAUAUUUACACAGAGGAUAUGCCUUUUAGUUUCCUUGUUGAAAACCUCAGAAUCGGAUCUCUAGUAGUACUGGAUGCCUCGAAACAUACUCGGCGAAGUUUAUCACUGGGAUGAUCCAUCACAAUAAAAAUCUGAUGUAAUUGAGGAGAGUCAUUCGGGAGCUACACGAUAAAUCGACAAAUCGCAUCUUCUGGCUAAUUAUAUUUAAUAAAAGCAAAUAUACACAAAAUAUAAGCCCCGUUUACGGUACACUCAAUUUAUUGGCGUGGCACGGCUGCAAUUGGAACACUUGCAAGUGCCCAAUUUAUUUCUGUUUAGGCUACCAAUACAAAGGCCGGGCAAAGAUGAAAUUGGGCACAGGUAGCUACCUAUUUUAGCCGUGACGUGCGGUGCUGAGAAAUUGAAUGUAAUGCAAACGGAGGUAAAGUUAGAAAGUUAAAACUUUGACUGAUCUUUCUGGCUAAAUGCCAUUUAUUAGGGCAAACAUGAAUUAACCAAUUCUGCAAAUUAUACAUCAAUUUUUUGACAAUUGAGAAAUUUGUCACGAACGGUUGACUUUUGCUUGCCUUGAUUAUGCCCUUUAGUCCGAGGAAUCGGUUAAGUUUUAACUUCUUCAAUUAUUAUUUUGUGUUUUUGCUUUGAAGUAUUAAAUAUAACAGCCCAGGUUGUUGCCGAUACUGCUGUUGAAAUCCAACAAACAACGAUCGAUGGAUGGAUGGAUGGAUGGAUGGAUGGAUGGAUGGAUGGAUGGAUGGAUGGAUGGAUGGAUGGAUGGAUGGAUGGAUGGAUGGAUGGAUGGAUGGAUGGAUAAAGAAUUAAUGAUCGACGAACAACAAAAAAGGCGCUCUUCUGAUUCAUUCCCAUUCAAAAAUACUGGCAAGUAAUCGAAAAAUCAGGCCAAAUCUCUAAAUCGAGGAUGUAUUAUUUGAAUUUGGACGAAGUAACUGGUUAACUUGUAGAAAAUGCUCUUGAAAUGGUGCAGAGCAAGCAUUGUGCUGCAAGAAUUAUUAUGAUGGAAUGGCAUCUGAUUUAACCGUGAUUUUUAAUGAAACUAAUGCUACCUAAAUUAUUUCACGGCGGUUGCGCUGAACAGCAUCAAUCGUAGUGGAUAAAACAUGACCAUGCAAAUUCGUAUAUUUUAUUGCUACAUUUUGGUUGAUAGGCAAAAAUUUUUCCGAAAAGAUUCUCCAAAAAAAAUUUAAACCAGAUUAGCUUAUAAAAAUAACACAGUCGGAAUAAAUCGGAAGAAACAGCGAAAAAUGGAAACCGCGAAAGUUCACUUAAACACUCCUAAAGGGUGUAAUUGGCAUUGGUCAGCCCAAAACGUGGUCGCAAUGUAGACAAAACACCUACACGCGUUUCCUAGAUAACAUAAUCGAUAGCGCUGCCUUGAAAAUAGAGAAAUGCUUUUCUUUGAGGUCCUUAAACUUUUGAAGUAAAGUUUGCAGAAAAUGGCCAUACCAGUGAUACCAGCAUCCAAACAUG